CCUACGGGCGGCAUCAGUGGGGAAUAUUGGACAAUGGGGGGAACCCUGAUCCAGCCAUGCCGCGUGUGUGAAGAAGGCCCUCGGGUUGUAAAGCACUUUCAGUGAGGAAGAACGCCUGGUGGUUAAUACCCAUCAGGAAAGACAUCACUCACAGAAGAAGCACCGGCUAACUCCGUGCCAGCAGCCGCGGUAAUACGGAGGGUGCGAGCGUUAAUCGGAAUUACUGGGCGUAAAGCGCGCGUAGGUGGCUUGAUAAGCCGGUUGUGAAAGCCCCGGGCUCAACCUGGGAACGGCAUCCGGAACUGUCAAGCUAGAGUGCAGGAGAGGAAGGUAGAAUUCCCGGUGUAGCGGUGAAAUGCGUAGAGAUCGGGAGGAAUACCAGUGGCGAAGGCGGCCUUCUGGACUGACACUGACACUGAGGUGCGAAAGCGUGGGUAGCAAACAGGAUUAGAUACCCUUGUAGUC
rnacentral:rRNA from 1 species